ACAUCUAACCCAAAGGGCAAGCCACAGACCAUUAUCUCUCAGCCUGGACUCAGCGAGUGUCUCUUAAUUGGUCCCUGGCUCUGGUCUGUUCACAACAGCAACCAGAGAACAUCCUUCUUAUGUGCACGAUUCUCUAGAGGCUUCCCAACAUAUUUAGAAGAAAAUCCAGACUCACUACCCAAGCCUACAAGUCAGCCUUCACCCUCCUCGCCAACACCAUUUCUGCCUCAUCUGCACAUUCAUCCGUGGCUUUCUUAUGCUUCCUUGAAUGGGACUCUACAGAUCAGAAUCACAUCUGCUCCUAGUGAAAAGGAAAAGCCUGGUGACUAUUUCUGACAAACAAAGGUGAUGCUAUAUAGUGAGAAUGAGUGUGGAAUAAGAGUUCAUUCUGAGCCAUGCGAUAAGGAAAACUGGGAAGGAAGUGUAUACUUGUUUUUAGAACUUCACCAGGACAGCGUGGCAGACUUUAAAUCUUAACUACUAACUCUGGUUUUUUGCAAAAGUGGGCCCUCUGCUUUGAAUACUCCACUUUUUUCCUUUUUAUUUUACCUCUUUUGCUUGUUAAUUACAACAUUUGCCUCAGUUUUGCUGUUAUUUCUUCUGAGCAACCUCCCUCAAUAUACUCAAAUAGGUAGGAGCAUUUAAUUAAACACUACUUGGCAUCCUAUACUUAAUCCUUAGCAAACUGAAUUACAAUUGUGUGUAUAGUGGUCUAUGCUUCCCCUCCCCACUAGACUACAUGCUUUUUGAAGACAAGGAAUAUCAUGCACCAUUGUAUAUCAAUUGUUCAGCACAGAACUGGCCCACGUAGAUGCUAACUGAAUAGUUCUUGAAUGAGUGAAUAAACUUAUGACUGGCCAUCUGGUCUAAAAUUACUUUCAGAAAACAAAGAAACAAACAAACCCACAACGAAUUAUUCUGACAGUCUCAUAUUCCUGAAGCUAUAUCCACCUAGGUGAAGCUGACGAAAGAAAACCAAGUCAGUUUGUGAUGCAUCUCAACCUAAGUUCAGUGAGCUUACCUCAGGGACAGAAGUUAGCUGACUACCUCAAUUCACUCUCAAAUGUUUUUCAAACCUUGAGCAAAUAAAUGUUUGAUUUUUUUAUGACACUUACAAAUAAAUAGUAAUUACCUUGCCCGAGUAUGAUGUGCACUGUUUUAUCUGCUAUUUAGUCUACUACAAAGCUCAUCCCAAGGAAAAUCCUAUAAAGACAAUUUUCCAUUGCCUAUGCCCUUGUCUAGUAUUGUAAUUGAAAGUAUGUAGGUAUAGAAAAUACAGAAGCAGCAGCCAAGUCAGUUGGUUGGCAAUUUACAUAGGCAUGACUAUGAGAAAGUUCAUCCUUCAUGCACAGUGAACUCCGGGUACAACACAGGCAAGAUGCCAUAAGCUGAACAACAUGGAAAUGUACACAGAGAAAAGCCAGCAAGUGUCACCACACCCAAGAAUCAUGACAAUAAAAUAAUCCAAACACACCCCAGCGCUCUUUAAUUUAUUGUUUUGUUUUUAGUAUUUUCCCCUUUUCUCUUGGUUUAAAGGAUUCUUGAUUUCAGUAGCUAACCAAGUCAGUAGAUGCAUAAUAACUGCUAAACUAGAAAAAUAUAUGCAAGUAGCUCAUUUUUACUUUGAAAGAAAAAAACUACCACAUUAACAUCUUUUCUUCUAAUGGUGCUUCUCAAACCAACAUUUAAAAAUUGUUUGCAUUGUGGGAAAGCAAAACAAUAGUAAUCGUGUCACAGAAGAUCUGAGCCUGGUCUUCUUCGUUAUCUUGCACUACUAAGAAUAUAACCUCGUUCACUACUUUUUAAAUCUCUAAGCCAAAUAAAUAACAAUUUCUU
ensembl:lncRNA